rnacentral:rRNA from 2 species
GGGUCAUUGGAAACUGGAAUACUUGAGUGCAGAAGAGAAAAGAGUACUUCCUCGUGUAGCGGUGAAAUGCGAAAAGAUGUGGAGGAACACCAGUGGCGAAGGCUUACUUUUUGGUCUGUAACUGACGCUGAGGAGCGAAAGCGUGGGGAGCAAACAGAAUUACAUACCCUGGUAGUCCACGCCGUAAACAAUGAGUGCUAUGUGUUAGAGGGUUUCCGCCCUUUAGUGCUGCAGCUAACGCAUUAAGCACUCCGCCUGGGGAGUACGGACGCAAGACUGAAACUCAAAGGAAUUGACGGGGGCCCGCACAAGCGGUGGAGCAUGUGGUUUAAUUCGAAGCAACGCGAAUAACCUUACCAGGUCUUGACAUCCUCUGACAACUCUAGAGAUAGCGCUUCCCCCUCCGGGGGACAGAGUGACGG